rnacentral:tRNA from 1 species
GUGGCUGUAGCUCAGCUGGCUAGAGCAUCAGAUUGUGGCUCUGAGGGUCGAGGGUUCGAAUCCCUUCAGCCACC